UUUAUGGAGAGUUUGAUCCUGGCUCAGGAUGAACGCUGGCGGCGUGCCUAAUACAUGCAAGUCGAGCGAACGGACGAGAAGCUUGCUUCUCUGAUGUUAGCGGCGGACGGGUGAGUAACACGUGGAUAACCUACCUAUAAGACUGGGAUAACUUCGGGAAACCGGAGCUAAUACCGGAUAAUAUUUUGAACCGCAUGGUUCGAAAGUGAAAGACGGUCUUGCUGUCACUUAUAGAUGGAUCCGCGCUGCAUUAGCUAGUUGGUAAGGUAACGGCUUACCAAGGCAACGAUGCAUAGCCGACCUGAGAGGGUGAUCGGCCACACUGGAACUGAGACACGGUCCAGACUCCUACGGGAGGCAGCAGUAGGGAAUCUUCCGCAAUGGGCGAAAGCCUGACGGAGCAACGCCGCGUGAGUGAUGAAGGUCUUCGGAUCGUAAAACUCUGUUAUUAGGGAAGAACAUAUGUGUAAGUAACUGUGCACAUCUUGACGG
rnacentral:rRNA from 1 species